rnacentral:rRNA from 1 species
AGUGAACGCUGGCGGUAGGCCUAACACAUGCAAGUCGAACGGCAGCACAGUAAGAGCUUGCUCUUACGGGUGGCGAGUGGCGGACGGGUGAGGAAUACAUCGGAAUCUACUUUUUCGUGGGGGAUAACGUAGGGAAACUUACGCUAAUACCGCAUACGACCUACGGGUGAAAGCAGGGGAUCUUCGGACCUUGCGCGAUUGAAUGAGCCGAUGUCGGAUUAGCUAGUUGGCGGGGUAAAGGCCCACCAAGGCGACGAUCCGUAGCUGGUCUGAGAGGAUGAUCAGCCACACUGGAACUGAGACACGGUCCAGACUCCUACGGGAGGCAGCAGUGGGGAAUAUUGGACAAUGGGCGCAAGCCUGAUCCAGCCAUACCGCGUGGGUGAAGAAGGCCUUCGGGUUGUAAAGCCCUUUUGUUGGGAAAGAAAAGCAGCAGGUUAAUACCCCGCUGUUCCGACGGUACCCAAAGAAUAAGCACCGGCUAACAUCGUG